rnacentral:rRNA from 1 species
CCUGAUCCAGCCAUGCCGCGUGCAGGAUGACGGCCCUAUGGGUUGUAAACUGCUUUUAUACAGGAAGAAAAAACUCUACGUGUAGAGUCUUGACGGUACUGUAAGAAUAAGGAUCGGCUAACUCCGUGCCAGCAGCCGCGGUAAUACGGAGGAUCCAAGCGUUAUCCGGAAUUAUUGGGUUUAAAGGGUCCGUAGGUGGACAAUUAAGUCAGAGGUGAAAUCCUGCAGCUCAACUGUAGAAUUGCCUUUGAAACUGGUUGUCUUGAGUCAUUAUGAAGUGGUUAGAAUGUGUAGUGUAGCGGUGAAAUGCAUAGAUAUUACACAGAAUACCAAUUGCGAAGGCAGAUCACUAAUAAUGUACUGACACUGAUGGACGAAAGCGCGGGUAGCGAACAGGAUUAGAUACCCUGGUAGUCCACGCCGUAAACGAUGGUUACUAGCUGUUCGGACUUCGGUCUGAGUGGCUAAGCGAAAGUGAUAAGUGACCCACCUGGGGAGUACGUUCGCAAGAAUGAAACUCAAAGGAAUUGACGGGGGCCCGCACAAGCGGUGGAGCAUGUGGUUUAAUUCGAUGAUACGCGAGGAACCUUACCAGGGCUUAAAUGUAGAGUGACAGGUCUAGAAAUAGAUUUUUCUUCGGACUCUUUACAAGGUGCUGCAUGGUUGUCGUCAGCUCGUG